CACGCGUAGUGACGAAAUGCGCACGUAAGUUAAACUCCGCCUUCUCCCAUAAUCCAUCGCCUUCCUUAGUGUCACUUAGAGGAGACAAGAUGGUUCCACCGGUGCAAGUGUCCCCGCUGAUUAAGUUUACAAGGUAUUCUGCUUUGCUGGUUGGAAUUGCUUAUGGAAAGAAAAGAUAUGACUAUUUGAAACCAGUUGCUGAAGAGGAAAGGAGGAUAGAAGCUGAAGAAAAAGCCAAGCGUGAGGAGGCAGAACGAAUUGCAAAGGAGUUGGCAGCAGCAAAUGAUGACACCAUUUUGAAAUAGGUUUUCAGUUGUCGUCCAACAUUAUUCCCAAGAACAUAACAAUGGAUGGAAUAUUGUGGUUUUUCACUUCAAAUCCAUGAUUCUUGUCACUGAACUGAUUAUUAAAUGUAAUGUAUGUUGAAAUACGAAAAAUAAAGUUUAAAAAUAGCA